rnacentral:lncRNA from 1 species
AGGUUUGAUAUCAUAGAUAGCCAAAUACGCGAUUCAAAUAGUUUUUGACACAAGUGAUACAUUGCAGUUAAGUUAGUACUACAUGGUAAGAUAGGAUGAAAUGUUUAGUUUUGUUGGCAAUUGAUACAUUGUUCUUCCACACGGAGAGAUUGUGUCCAUCUCUAUCACUGGAUUGGUAGGUCUCAUGGUCUUUGAUGGUUAAAUGAAGCCUCUUGACAAUUUCUGCAAGCAUGUAUUCUCCUAUUUAUUUCACCAUGGAUUGGUGACAACUGAAACGCAUAGGAGCAGUAUAGAUAUGUCCUGGAAUUUAUCAAGUGACAUAUAUCACUACACUUUUGAAGAUUCUCUAUGGGCAAUGUAGAAGAUCUAAGUCAGGCUGCUAAACCAACUACAAAAAUAAUAAUAUUUAGGCAAUAUUUCAAGUGAAUGGGUAAGGAAGUAAUAAGAUGGAGAGCUUCACUAUCAUCAUUAACAGAAGGAAAAAGCAUAGACAAUGAAGAAUAUUUGUCUCGGUUCAGAACAUACAUGAACAUGACUAUAGACACACAAGAUUUAUUUUCCAAAAUAUGCACAAUUUAAUUUAAAUAAAUCCAUGUUGCUUUAUAGUAGGAAGAACACACCUGCAUCGACAAAAAUACAAAAAUGUAAGAUCCGAGUAACUAUACAGAUAGGCGACACAAUAGAAUGUAAGACAUGUCAACAUAGAACACUCUGUCCAGGAGUAGUCUUUAGGAAUAGCAGUCAAAUACAUCAUAUAGUAAUGGGAUCCAACACAAUCAAUCCAUGGUACCUUUUCUACAGAAAAAGCAUACAAAAAUAUGAUAUAAAUGUUUCUUCUGAUCUUCUCUACCAAAUAUUAUUAGUCUGAUCUUCGUGACUAUGAUCAGUCUGAUAAAAUAUGCAAGCCAUAUGAUUACUACGAAAAAGAUGGAGACAAAUUUGUGAGCUUCCUUGUGCACAAAUCAGACUACAUGUGCAAUGAAUGUCAAAAGAAAAUCAAGUUUCCAGAUGAAAACUUCUAAAGUAACUCAGGAUGUUGCAAUCAGCUGACAUUAUACUGCAACCUAGUGUUGUAGUUCACUAUGAGACCUCUAUUGAACCAUGAAACAAAAAGAAUGUUGCUUUCACAAGGCAACACUAUCUUUAAAACGAUGUUCAGACACACCUUGUAUGUAGUACAAUUCCUUUGGAUCAGGUCUGUUCAGGUUGACUAUAGAGGCGAAAUGUAGCAUAAAAAUUGAGCAGAAGAGAUAUCGUUGUGAAAUGCAAAAAAGAUAUUGAUUGGAGAUUGCACACAACAUAAAAGAAGAAAGUCACAACGCAACCAUAUAUAUUCAGUUCUAGCAGAAAUAGGAACUUGGGUGUAUUUUAGUUCAGAGAUAUACAAGUGAUCUAGUUCAGUUUAGUCAGGGCACGCAGUAAGAAGUAGUUCCCAAAGGUAAAGGCUUCGCAUUGGCUGCAGCUAGCUAUGUAAAACAGCCGGAUAUUGGAUGUUUAAACUGAAUUGUUGCACCCCUAAACUUGGAAUUCUGGUUCAGUUUUAGCUCUUAAGAAAUGCCGGUGGAAUAUUGCUCAACAAAUUAAAAUGAAUAUAGCACAUAAAUCCGACCUGACAGCCCCUCUUUUCUUCUUCUCUCACCUCCUCAGAUAUUAAUAUAUUGUAUUAAAUUUCAUAUUUAGAAACUGGAAGCAUAAGAAAGCUCGACGAAUAACUUCCUUGAAAUAAAUGAGCGACAGCUAAGUGAGGCAUACAUCCAAGGCAAAAUUUUCAUGUUUUGUAUGCCUACUUUUAGCUGAUGGUGAUGGUUACUUUAGUGUAUCGCUGAAUGAAAAAGCAAAUAAACAUGUGCCUUAUCGAUCAAAAGGUUACUCCCUAGACUAAUUAUCUAAACAAAAUCACCUCUAUCAAAAGCCCCAACGGUUAAUUCUAACGUGGAGGAGCAGUGCUGAAUUAACUGUUUGACUUCACUAUUCUAUACCGUAUAACAAACAAUCAAAGUUCAAGACUAUGAAUUUAGCAGCAUGAUGAUGAUGAUGGUGAUAUACUUAAUCAAAUACCAUUGCCGUAACAGUAAGGCCUUCUGUUCUGUUCCUUCAGUAAGAAAGUUGUAGAAAGAGAAGCAACCAAAUAAGCAAAGAAAUACCUUGCUACUUCAAUUUUAUCAAUUUUACUGUUGGAAUAUGGUUUCCCCAUAUAAAGCUGAUCCGGACAACCAAGCCAACCAUCCAGAAGGUCUGCGCAUGUAAUUCAGAGGGAGUAAUAUUUAAGGGAGUCCUUGCAUACGACAUGAUUCAGGAAAGUACAGUGUGGGAUGCCAUUAUAAUUUUAAGGUUGGGGUUGUUUUCCUGAGAUAGAAUCAAGAAAUCGAGUUAUCCUUAGCACAAGCAGGAGAGUAAAAAUUGAGGAGCCUAUGAUGACAACUUGAACUCGUAGCUGCUGAUGGUCAACAGCCUCCAUUGUCCACCCACCCACGGUCAUCAGCAGUUGCGCCCUUGCCCAAGCCGGGCUAGUGUCUGCCACCGCUGAGCAUUAUAUACAUUUGACUCCAUUGGCACCAUCACACAGUUGCGCAAAUAGACACAAAAGAGCAGCCAACUUAUCACUAUUUGGUGGAAAGUAGUCGAGACAUUGCUGCCUAAUGAUUAGACGCAGACCUCAGUAUAACCAACGCCUUGUGUAUAAAAUUUGCCUUCUAGAAAGCAAAACAUGAACAAAUGGUAAGGAAAUAUAGCUGCUUGCAUACUAAACGAUGAUCUUAUUCCUUUAAAGGGUCUACUAAAAAUAAAUAAGCAUCAAUAUGUAUGACCACACAAGCCAUUAAAUCUUGUGCUUUUAAAUUUUCAAUUACAGCAAUGGAGUUCAUUUUCGAGGGAUUUUUAACGAUCAUGUAUAAUAACUCGAAUGAAGAUCUGAAAGUACCUUGUAGGAAAGCUGAUUGCAAAAUUACAAAUUGUAAGCCAAAUCAGUUCAAAUCUGACCAAACUCUGGAUGACUAUCUCAUGAUGCCCAAUAUACUGCUCUUUCAAGGCAUCAAACAAAGUGCACUCCCUAUGAAAUGUGAAAUCGAGAAACAACCAGCGCCUAUGGACACACGUCAAUAGCAAUGCAAAAUAAAGAAAUAAGCAAGCAAACACUCAACAACCUACCGAAUGUUAGGAUUAAGACAUCCAGAUGCUCCAUAGUUUUUUCUUCUGGUGGAGCACAAUGCUUACUCGAGAUCAGAUUCUACCCCGGAUGAGUGUAUGCAUCGACAAUAGUAAAUUUCUCUCCAAGACUGUUGAAAAGAGCCAAAGGCAUGAAGACUAUUACCAAGCCAAGCAAACAGUAGCAGACACGCAGAACAAUUGAUGUGCGGAAUUACCUGUCACUAAACGAAUUUAUGUCAGGGAUAUCCUCAUUGAUAUACCAAAAGCAGGCCAAGCGACCAAUGAGCCCCUUGUACAUGUCGGAAAGAAACAAGAAGGAAAAAAAUUAUCAAGGACACUGAUCAUAAAGAAUCAAGAGCGUUGUAUAGAAAGCAUCCGAAAUAAAUGUCACAAACAAUGCGUUCUUUCUCAAUACACAACAAGCAUAAUAUAGUGUAGAAAUAAACCUUGCUUCUCUAGACCUUUAAUCAAGCUAUGAAGGACAUAAUGUCAAAAUGAUAACUGCCGAGAAAGGAAAUCACUAACAUCCAUGUGCAAUAUGUGACUGAGGUUAAUGCACAUAGGAAUAUUAAAACCUGCAGGUAUUUCUUGGUACAGAGCAACAACAACAACAACAACAACAACAAAGCCUUGGGUAGGCUAGAGGUGAAACCCAUAAGAUCUCGCAACCAACUCAUGGCUCUGGCACAUGGAUAGCAAGCUUCCACGCACCCCUGUCCAUAGCUAGCUCUUUGUCGAUACUCCAAUCCUUCAGGUCUCUCUUAACG